rnacentral:rRNA from 1 species
GCUUACCAUGCAGUCGACGAUGAUCCUCACUUGUGGGGGGAUUAGUGGCGAACGGGUGAGUAACACGUGAGUAACCUGCCCUUAACUCUGGGAUAAGCCUGGGAAACUGGGUCUAAUACCGGAUAUGACCUUCCAUCGCAUGGUGGUGGGUGGAAAGCUUUUUGUGGUUUUGGAUGGACUCGCGGCCUAUCAGCUUGUUGGUGAGGUAAUGGCUUACCAAGGCGACGACGGGUAGCCGGCCUGAGAGGGUGACCGGCCACACUGGGACUGAGACACGGCCCAGACUCCUACGGGAGGCAGCAGUGGGGAAUAUUGCACAAUGGGCGCAAGCCUGAUGCAGCGACGCCGCGUGAGGGAUGACGGCCUUCGGGUUGUAAACCUCUUUCAGCACGGAAGAAACGAAAGUGACGGUACCUGCAGAAAAAACACCGGCUAACUACGUGCCAGCAGCCG